GUGAAUCAUCAAAUUUUUGAACGCAUAUUGCACUCUCUGGUAUUCCGGGGAGUAUGCCUAUUUGAGGGUCAGUUGAUAUAAUAUAAAUUCCAAUAUUUCUCGUAAUUUAAAAUGGGGGGUGCAUUUUUUGUGGUCGCCUAAAAUCCAAGACAAGCUCAGUUUCUUGGGUUGCGUGAUGCUUUCAUUUACCGCGUGACUUAAGCAGAAAUCAUCGGUCGGGUUAUGAAGUUUGAAAUAGGU
rnacentral:misc_RNA from 1 species